GACGAACGCUGGCGGCGUGCUUAACACAUGCAAGUCGAACGGAAAGGCCCUGCUUUUGUGGGGUUCUCGAGUGGCGAACGGGUGAGUAACACGUGAGUAACCUGCCCUUGACUUUGGGAUAACUUCAGGAAACUGGGGCUAAUACCGGAUAGGAGCUCCUGCUGCAUGGUGGGGGUUGGAAAGUUUCGGCGGUUGGGGAUGGACUCGCGGCUUAUCAGCUUGUUUGUGGGGUAGUGGCUUACCAAGGCUUUGACGGGUAGCCGGCCUGAGAGGGUGACCGGCCACAUUGGGACUGAGAUACGGCCCAGACUCCUACGGGAGGCAGCAGUGGGGAAUAUUGCUCAAUGGGCGGAAGCGUGAUGCAGCAACGCCGCGUGCGGGAUGACGGCCUUCGGGUUGUAAACCGAUUUCGCCUGUGACGAAGCGUGAGUGACGGUAAUGGGUAAAGAAGCACCGGCUAACUACGUG
rnacentral:rRNA from 1 species